rnacentral:lncRNA from 1 species
GUGAAUCCAACUCUAGCUCUCCUCAAAACAUACACUCGCUGCCCUAAGAAUGCUCCUGCACCUCUAUUGGAAAUCCCAACGCCUCCUUCUCCUUCCCCAUCUGUUGAGACACUCUUACCAACUACAUAAUCCAUUCCUUCAUCACCGUCCUUGCUUCUAUCUUCAUCCAAUCCCUCUGACCCAUCCCUAGCUCUUCCUAGCCUGCCACAACCAACCCUAA